rnacentral:rRNA from 1 species
AUGAACGCUGGCGGCGUGCUUAACACAUGCAAGUCGAACGGGAAACCUUUUAUUGAAGCUUCGGCAGAUUUAGCUGGUUUCUAGUGGCGGACGGGUGAGUAACGCGUGGGUAACCUGCCUUAUACAGGGGGAUAACAGUCAGAAAUGGCUGCUAAUACCGCAUAAGCGCACAGAGCUGCAUGGCUCAGUGUGAAAAACUCCGGUGGUAUAAGAUGGACCCGCGUUGGAUUAGCUGGUUGGUGGGGUAACGGCCCACCAAGGCGACGAUCCAUAGCCGGCCUGAGAGGGUGAACGGCCACAGUGGGACUGAGACACGGCCCAGACUCCUACGGGAGGCAGCAGUGGGGAAUAUUGCACAAUGGGGGAAACCCUGAUGCAGCGACGCCGCGUGAAGGAAGAAGUAUCUCGGUAUGUAAACUUCUAUCAGCAGGGAAGAUAAUGACGGUACCUGACUAAGAAGCCCCGGCUAACUACGUG